rnacentral:lncRNA from 1 species
CCGGGAACCCCGAACAUCCCCUUUCUCUACUCUUUCCCUUUGGAGUCUAUAGAGGGAGAAGCAGAGCCUAAGGCUUCAUCAGUUUGAAUACUGGCUGGGGCUGGGCAAGUUAGUGGCUCAAAGUGUUGAAUCUGUCCCUAAAGCAGGGACAGAAAUGGAGGCUCAGGAGGUAGAGGUGGCAGUGGGCGUGCAGGAGAAGCUGUAGGUCAGGAGGUAGAGGUGGCAGUGGGCGUGCAGGAGAACUGUAGGUCAGAGUGGAGAGGUGGCAGUGGGCGUGCAGGAGAAGCUGUAGGUCGGGGGGUAGAGGUGGCAGUGGGCGUGCAGGAGAAGGUGUAGGUCGGGAGGUAGAGGUGGCAGUGGGCGUGCAGGAGAAGCUGUAGGUCGGAGAGGGUGCAGAGUGGAGAACAGAUGAGCUGGAGUCACACCAUGCCCUAUACCCAGCCAGAGGCCGAAGUGAGCCUGUCACGGUAAUGCCACUGCCUGCUUGAUUCCCUCCCAUGCCUAGCCUGGGUUCUUCAUGAUCCCUGAGGCCCUCUUUGAUGUCAUCCCGCUGCCUCAAAACCUGUGUGUGCUGGUGGCUCCCUCUGCUUUCCUUCCAGAUGACUCCUUCGCUUCAGCUCAAAUGUCACCUUUGGCUGUUAAAAUCCUUUCCGGAGGAAGUUGUAAACAAUGCCUACCCCUCCUCCCGAGGUCUCUGAUUCCACUCCAGGGAAGAUUGCUCUGGGGGAGCCAAUGAGUUUGUUGGGAUUACUUCCAGAGCAUAGGUGAGGGGUUAGUUACUUGAAUAUGAGUGCUGCCCACCAAAAGACCGCACUGAAAAGUCUUUACCCAGCAGGGGUGAUGGU